rnacentral:lncRNA from 1 species
ACCACCUCUGAGUCGAAAGAAAAAAAGUAAGAAAAAGAGAAAACAAAAAGCAGUAGACACUUGAAGAAACAAAAGAAAAGGAGAGAUACACCUACACACUUAAAAAAGGAAAACAAAAAGAACACAUGCACACAAAUGGGAAGAAAAAGAAAACUAAGAGAAAACAAGAAAAAAGAGAUUAGAAAUAAGAAGUAAAACUAAAGAAGUAGAAACAAGAAGUA